AACUACUGUUCCUAAACCAAUUCCGGGGUCAUUAUCUUGCAUGCUUUUUCCUCAGUAGUUCUGUUUUCAGUUGGCAACUUUUAUACACAUUUACUUGUUUACCAACACAAUGUCCCGAGGGUCGAGUGCAGGAUUUGACCAACAUAUUACCAUCUUCUCUCCGGAGAGCAGACUCUAAAAAAGUCGAAUAUGCAUUCAAGGCUAUCAACCAAGGUGGCCUUACCUCAGUAGCUAUCAGAGGACAAGACUGUGCAGUUGUCAUCACACAGAAUUCCAGACAAGCUUGUUGAUGCCAUCCACAGUCACACACUCAUUCAGAAUCACAGAAAACAUUGGCUGCGUCAUUUCUAUAAUGACGGCUGACAGCAAGUCCCAAGUCCGGAGGUCUCGUUACGAGCCUGCAAGUACAAGUACGGUUAUGAAAUCCCAGUGGAUAUGCUGUGUAAGAGGAUGGCUAACAUUUCUCAGGUGUACACACAGAGUGCUGAGAUGAGACCUCUUGGUUUCUGUAAGUGUUACACAAUUGUCAAAAAAAACACCGGUGUAGCUGAGAAGUUUCAAGAUAUACAGUACCAGUCAGAAGUUUGGCACACCUACUCAUUCCAGGGUUUUUCUUUAUUUUUACUAUUUUCUACAUUCUAGACUAAUAGUGAAGACAUCAAAACUAUGAAAUAACACAUAUGGAAUCAUGUAGUAACCAUAAGUGUUAAACAAAUCAUUGUCAUUGUUCUUAUCUGACUUGCCUAGUUAAAUAAAGGUUAAAUUAACUUACUAACAGACAUGUGGUUUCAGCUCUUCUGGAAUAAAUUGUGGGCCACUCUAGUAUUAAGCAUGAGAGAUACUCACGAGCUUAAUACAUUAGUGAUGCAACAACACAAUAAUAUUAUAAUUAAUUGAUUGCUCCUAGCUCCUAUCAGUACAGCAAAAAUGUCAAACAAGUACACAAAUAAUAAAUCACAAAUGUCAGAACGAAUCCAGUUAUCCCAAAUAACACAUUUUCAGUAAUCCAAAUGCAAUCUAUGCGUAUAUACAGUUGAAGUCGGAAGUUUACAU